rnacentral:tRNA from 1 species
GCGGGAAUGGUGAAAUUGGUAAACACGCUAGAUUUAGAAUCUAGUAUCGAAAGAUGUGAGAGUUCGAGUCUCUCUUCCCGUACUA